rnacentral:SRP_RNA from 1 species
CUGUGCUAGGUGGGGAGUUAGCGGUGCCCUGUAACCCGAAAUCCGCUCUAGCGGGACCGAAUACCCACUCUUGAGGUCUCCUCGCUGCUGGAUCCUGAAGAUACGCGAUGUUGAUGGCCAAGUCCCGCGCAAUGGGAUGUCGCCCAAUCCCGUCAGGCCCGGGAGGGAGCAGCGGUAAGCGAUAAUCGCAUGUGCCGUGGGGUAGCUUGGUCGGAAUCGGCGACCUUCAGGUGAAAAGCAGACGGAAGGCCGAUGGUGGGGCACAG